ensembl:rRNA 5S_rRNA 5S ribosomal RNA
GCUUACGGCCAUACCACCCUGAGAAAGCCCGAUCUCGGAAGCUAAGCAGGGUCGGGCCUGGUUAGUACUUGGAUGGGAGACCGCCUGGGAAUACCAGGUGCUGUAAGCU